UGGAACGGUAAGCUCAACGGCAGAGCUAGGUUUGAUUCCGGGUUGCAGGUUCGAGUCCUGCCCGUUCCC
rnacentral:tRNA from 1 species